rnacentral:misc_RNA from 1 species
UUUUUUUUUUUUUUUUAAAAGAAGAAAAAAAUCCAUGCUGCAAUAAUUUUUGGGCAUUUCUACAAGGUCUUUCUUUCUUUUUGAGUUAUAAUAGUCAUUAGAAAGAUUUAAACUACUUUACUUUCACCACCUAUGAUUAAGUAUUUUUCACAUUAUUUUAUUCCUAUCUUUUUUUAAUCUUUAUUAUAUAUUAGUGGAAGCAUUUUGUUUUAUCAAAUUCUCUCCCACCACCACCCCUUUUCAUUUAAUGACUGAAAUUAUUUCUCAAAUUCAAAUCUGGACCUCAGUUAUUCAAGAUAAUGUAAAAUUAAUGAACUUCAUAGCAUGAUAGAUGGGGAAUGUGAUGCAUUCAGUGUUGUGGAGACUCUUUUGUAUUAUCAAACAUGUGUAUCACACAAUCUUAGGGCUUCCUUUUUGUUGUUAUAUUCUCAAAAACAAUGAGAAAGAAGAGAUGUGUGAAAAAUAGGAGACAAGGAAGAGAUACAGUCUCCAGGUCCUUUUAACUGCAAGAAAAUCUAAAUAGGACAGGACUAAUAAGAGAGCAAGAGGAAAAGACAAUUUCCAGGACUGUUGAAUAUGAGAAGAUAGAGAUGGAGGAAAGGAGAAAAAGAGGAGGGG